rnacentral:rRNA from 10 species
GCCUUAUCAACUUUCGAUGGUAGUUUAUGUGCCUACCAUGGUUGUUACGGGUAACGGAGAAUAAGGGUUCGACUCCGGAGAGGGAGCCUGAGAAACGGCUACCACAUCCAAGGAAGGCAGCAGGCGCGCAAAUUACCCACUCUCGGCAUGAGGAGGUAGUGACGAAAAAUAACGAGACCGUUCUCUAUGAGGCCGGUUAUCGGAAUGGGUACAAUUUAAACCCGUUAACGAGGAUCUAUAAGAGGGCAAGUCUGGUGCCAGCAGCCGCGGUAAUUCCAGCUCUUAAAGUGUAUAUCGUCAUUGCUGCGGUUAAAAAGCUCGUAGUUGGAUCUGCGCCUCAGGACUCGGUCCGCCCACUGGGUGAGAACUGGGCUCCUGGGCUAAUACUGCUGGUUUUCCCUUCGUUGCCUUCAUCGGUCGCGUAGGGUGGCUAGCGAGUUUACUUUGAAAAAAUUAGAGUGCUUCACGCGGGCUAUUGUCUGAAUACUCGUGCAUGGAAUAAUAGAAUAGGAUCUCGGUUCUAUUUUGUUGGUUUUCUGAUCUGAGAUAAUGGUUAAGAGGGACGGACGGGGGCAUUCGUAUCGUUGCGUGAGAGGUGAAAUUCUUGGACCGUAGCGAGACGACCGACUGCGAAAGCAUUUGCCAAGAAUGUCUUCAUUAAUCAAGAACGAAAGUCAGAGGUUCGAAGGCGAUCAGAUAC